GAAAUGUUAGGACAGAGUGAAAGACAGUUUAAAUUAUUUCUCUGUUAACAGGAAUAGAUGUCUUGAAUACAUUAACAGAUAUCUAAUUUAGAAAUAUUUUUAUACAAAAAAAAAGUUAAAAAAGCCCCAAACCCCAGAGCAAUACAAUUCUGCUUAGUCAAUAAGUCUUUGCUUACCCUGGAUAGUCUCAAAGAUAAUUACCCUUGGAAAAAAUAAGUCAUUUAUUGAGGUUUUCCCCUCCCAACUAAUUUAUCCUGACUGCUCUUGCAAUGAAAUUAAAAUCUCUUUCUCUAUUUAGGAUUUAAAAUAAUCUAUUGCCUGAAACCAGCCAUCAGAAAUCCACAUUAUAAUUUUGCUUAAAGAGCAAAGAGGACUAGAUAAAGCGAGAUAAGUCCCUUCUUUGAGAUACAAUUAUCUUUCAUAGCUUAAAAAGAAAAGAACAAUGGUGUAUGAAAUAUACUCUAAAUGAUUAAAUACUGCAACAUGAAAAUCAGCCUGUAACAAAAACCCACUCCAGAGAAUAUUCCUGAAUACCAAUAUCAUCACUUUCUCACAUGAUCAGAAUUCAGGACUUGCACAUUCCUCCACACCAGGUGUUAACUACCCCAGUAAAGCUGAUAAUGUUUCUAUCUUGCAGCAAUAACAAAAAGAUGGAUCACUUUCUUGGCAGUCUUAGGAAGGAGCUACAAUGCCAAAUUAUAAUGUUAACUAAUACCUGGAUAAGUUCCUGUCUGAGAACUGAUAUCACCAUGAUGUUUUUCAGACAUUAUUCCAGUGGAGCACUUGAAAGCAGAGCUGAAGCUUAGCCCCUGAAAAGGAAGCUCAAGAAUAAGGAAAUGAGAAGAAGGAAAAACAGUGGGAGGACUGCGUUUAUUUAAAAAAAAAAAAUAAAAAAGUUGUGAAGUUUUGAGCUUCA
ensembl:lncRNA